rnacentral:lncRNA from 1 species
CAUAGGUCACCUCGGAGAAGAAAACAAAAUGAUUGUCCCUUUUUAGAACUGAGGAAAGGCAGGCCUGCCAAGUGCUCAUUAACCAGAUGGACCAUCCAGUCUCCUAACUGGAGCAUCAAACUCUGGCUGCUGACCUUCUGGAGUUGCUGACGGAGAGAUCAGUGUUCUUGACAUUUCAUUCCAGAGCAAGUUUCCCCAAUUUGUCACCGAGUGCUAACUAAUUAAGGAGUUGUCACUUUCCUGGCCUUCUCUCAGUGCUAUGCUCACUACAGCAUAUAAAUGUGGGUGUGAGGGUA